AGCGUGCAUAACACAUGCAAGUCGAACGCGGAAGAAUCUCUCGGGAUUUUGAAGAGUGGCGAACGGGUGAGGAACACGUAAGAAUCUACCUUUCGGUUGGGGAUAACUUCUGGAAACGGGAGCUAAUACCCAAUAUGCUAUGGAGUGAAAGAAUUUCGCCGAAAGACGAUCUUGCGUCUGAUUAGCUAGUUGGGGUGGUAAUGGCACACCAAGGCGACGAUCAGUAGGGGUUCUGAGAGGAAGGUCCCCCACACUGGCACUGAGAUACGGGCCAGACUCC
rnacentral:rRNA from 1 species